rnacentral:rRNA from 1 species
GCCAGACUCCUACGGGAGGCAGCAGUGGGGGAUAUUGCACAAUGGGGGGAACCCUGAUGCAGCGACGCCGCGUGGGUGAAGAAGCGCCUCGGCGCGUAAAGCCCUGUCAGCAGGGAAGAAAAUGGCGGUACCUGAAGAAGAAGCCCCGGCUAACUACGUGCCAGCAGCCGCGGUAAUACGUAGGGGGCAAGCGUUAUCCGGAUUUACUGGGUGUAAAGGGGGCGCAGACGGCGAUGCAAGCCAGGAGUGAAGGCCCGGGGCCCAACCCCGGGACUGCUCUUGGAACUGCGUGGCUGGAGUGCAGGAGGGGCAGGCGGAAUUCCUGGUGUAGCGGUGAAAUGCGUAGAUAUUAGGAGGAACACCAGUGGCGAAGGCGGCUUACUGGACAGUAACUGACGUUGAGGCUCGAAAGCGUGGGGAGCAAACAGGAUUAGAUACCCGAGUA